ACGCUGGCGGCGUGCCUCAGACAUGCAAGUCGAACGCGAAAGUUCCCUUCGGGGAGCGAGUAGAGUGGCGCACGGGUGAGUAACACGUAGGUAAUCUACCUUCGGAUGGGGAAUAACACCGAGAAAUCGGUGCUAAUACCGCAUAAUGCAGCGGCACCUAAUGGUGACAGUUGUUAAAGCGGGGGAUCGAAAGACCUCGCGUCUGAAGAGGAGCCUGCGGCAGAUUAGCUAGUUGGUAAGGUAACGGCUUACCAAGGCGAUGAUCUGUAGCCGGCCUGAGAGGGCGGUCGGCCACACUGACACUGACAUACGGGUCAGACUCCUACGGGAGGCAGCAGUCGGGAAUUUUGGGCAAUGGGCGAAAGCCUGACCCAGCAACGCCGCGUGAAGGAUGAAAUCCCUCGGGAUGUAAACUUCGCAAGAAUAGGAAGAAUAAGUUUGUGUUAACACCACAAGCGAUGACGGUACUGUUUGUAAGCUCCGGCUAACUCCGUGCCAGCAGCCGCGGUAAUACGGGGGGAGCAAGCGUUGUU
rnacentral:rRNA from 1 species